UUUCCGUAGGUGAACCUGCGGAAGGAUCAUUAAAGAGAAUAUGCCCUUCGGGUAGAUCUCCCACCCUUUGUUUAUGUUACCUUUGUUGCUUUGGCAGGCCCGUCUUCGGUCCACCGGCUUCGGCUGGUCAGUGCUUGCCAGAGGACCCAAAACUCUUAUUAUUAAUGUCGUCUGAGUACUAUAUAAUAGUUAAAACUUUCAACAACGGAUCUCUUGGUUCUG
rnacentral:misc_RNA from 1 species